rnacentral:rRNA from 1 species
UAGAUGCGAGAGUAGUGCAUAUCAAUAAGCGGAGGAAAAGAAACUAACAAGGAUUCCCUUAGUAACGGCGAGUGAAGCGGGAAGAGCUCAAAUUUGAAAUCUUCAAGGUUCUACCUUGACGAAUUGUAGUUUAAAGAAGUGUUUUCUGUUAGAUGAGUAGCAAAAGUUCCUUGGAGUGGGACAUCAUAGAGGGUGAGAAUCCCGUAUUUGGUUAUUCAUUCUAGCUUUGUGAUACACUUUCAAAGAGUCGGAUUGUUUGGGAAUGCAGUCCAAAAUGGGUGGUAAAUUUCAUCUAAAGCUAAAUAUUGGCGAGAGACCGAUAGCGAACAAGUACCGUGAGGGAAAGAUGAAAAGAACUUUGAAAAGAGAGUUAAACAGUACGUGAAAUUGUCAAAAGGGAAGCGUUUGACACCAGUGUUGUUUUUCCGAAAAUCAAUUACGAAUGGCUUGAUUUUGUGUUGUAUUGACCUUAUCAGCUUUCUGCACUUUUUUUCGAGUCUUUCUUAAUGCACUUUUCGGUUAACAAGUCAACAUCAAUUUCUUUUGUUGUAAAAGAGUAUUCGGAAGGUGGCUUUCUUUUCGGAGAAAGUGUUUAUAGCCCUAUACUUCUACAAUCGGAGAGAUUGAGGUCUGCAGCGUAGAUCCUUCGGGGUUAGAUACACUUUGUGCUAAGUUGUAGCUUUUCAUAGACAACUUGUUGACUAUGUUUAGUCAUGCGGCUUACUCGCUUAUGCUAUUUUACCUACGCUUAGGAUGUUGAGCGCAUGUCUCUCUCU